UUUAUCAUUUUGCCUCACGAAGU
rnacentral:piRNA from 1 species